rnacentral:tRNA from 1 species
GGGAUAGCUCAGUUGGUAGAGCAGAGGACUGAAAAUCCUCGNGUCACCAGUUCAAAUA